UACGGGGGGGGCAAGCGUUGUUCGGAAUUACUGGGCGUAAAGGGCUCGUAGGUGGCCAACUAAGUCAGACGUGAAAUCCCUCGGCUUAACCGGGGAACUGCGUCUGAUACUGGAUGGCUUGAGUUUGGGAGAGGGAGGCGGAAUUCCAGGUGUAGCGGUGAAAUGCGUAGAUAUCUGGAGGAACACCGGUGGCGAAGGCAGCUCGCUGGAACGGUACUGACGCUGAGGCACGAAAGCGUGGGGAGCGAACAGG
rnacentral:rRNA from 1 species